rnacentral:rRNA from 1 species
UAGGGAAUAUUCCGCAAUGGGCGAAAGCCUGACGGAGCAACGCCGCGUGAGUGAUGAAGGCCUUCGGAUCGUAAAACCCUGUCGAGAGGGAAGAAAGAGCGGGCGCUAAUAUCGCCUACUUCUGACGGUACCUCUGGAGGAAGCCCCGGCUAACUCUGUGCCAGCAGCCGCGGUAAUACAGAGGGUGCAAGCGUUGCUCGGAAUUACUGGGCGUAAAGGGGAGGUAGGUGGUCCUGUGCGUCCAUGGUGAAAUCCCUGAGCUUAACUCAGGACGUGCCAUGGAUACGACAGGACUAGAGUCCUGGAGAGGGUGGUAGAAUUCCCGGUGUAGCGGUGAAAUGCGUAGAGAUCGGGAGGAAUACCAGAGGCGAAGGCGGCCACCUGGACAGGAACUGACACUCAACUCCGAAAGCGUGGGGAGCAAACAGGAUUAGAUACCCUUGUAGUCCCUGAGCGGGCUGGCAAGGCGCAU